rnacentral:lncRNA from 1 species
UAAAUUCUGACCUGGUAACCCUCUCCGGUGGUGACGAGGGAAGUAGUAGAACUCAUCGACAUCGAAGAAUCCUACCCAUUUACACUCAUUUCUUGCUCUCAAAGCACAAUGUGAAAAUCCUGCCUCUUGAGUUUUAAUCCAUGGCCAGGUAUGUCUGCUAACAUUAUAGUCUUGAAAAUCAAGUUCUUCGAUAACAUCUUGAAUUCCAUCAUCACUAUUAUUGUCAUAAAUGAACCAACGUUCAACUCCGAGCCAGGUAUGGUACAUAAUCCACUCCCGCAGUGCCGGUGCCUGGUUCCAGAGCAUGGUGCAGGCACAAAGCUCGAAUUUCUCGUCAUUCCUUUUUGUCUGGUAAGACUUCGAAUUGUAUAGUUUAGCUACAGAAGGCAUAGCAAUGUUCUCCUUAUGCCUCAUCCGGUUCCUCCUGUAAUCAUAGGAUCUGGAAUUGCGAAAUCUAACUGCAGAUGGCAUCCGUACAUGUUUGACAUCAUUCCUGCUGGCAAGAACAACUGUAACUCGAAUCCCCUGAGCCGAGUCCGGAUUAUUUCUUAUACUGCUGGGCAAUGAACACCUAACAACCUCCUGUGCAGCCACUAUUGCUUCAGUCAAUACC